UUUUCUGUACAAUUAAUUACCAAUUUGCAGUAAACAUAAGUAAUAGACGCUAGAGUAAUAAGCAUUCAUCAAAUUAGAGUUUCUUACAUUUUCUGUAGUUUGCAAGGAAUAGAAUGAAGUUAAGAUGAAACUUAUAUUCCUUUUAUCUAUUGUACAAAUUGGUAUUAACGCAAACAAAACCCAAGUUGCCAGUAAUGUCACCGCAAUGGACAUAGCAUACGACGAUAUGGACUUCAGCCUCGAAGAUUUCCCAAACCUCAGCGACAUGCUCCCAACACUUACUAAAAAAACCUCAUUAGAUUACGAAAAUAUCCCAGGCGCAAUUAUCAAGAACUUAUCAAUGGACUUAGAUAAAAUAAACAUAAACAAGUUUAAGAAGAAAAUCACUAAAAUUGCAGACUUUAUGGGUAAAAACGACCCCACACUUAACGCGUCUAGAAGACAAGCUGUUGUAAAGUCAUCAAAUUGGAAUAGAGAAAAGGAAGCGUACAUAUUCUAUGUGAAACGCAAGAUCCUAGAUUUGAUGCUUCAAACAAUGUACAUGGCGCGACAUAAAGUUAAGCCCGUUGAACAGAGUAAAUACUACAGCAAUAAGGGCGCGAGUUACCGCAUCGCAUUCUUGUAUCAGCGCCUAAAACUCAUUAAGUACAAAAUAAUGCGCCGUUAUCGAUAUGCGUAUAAUAGUAACCACAAAUACUCCCUUGAGAACGUAAUAAGUCAUUGGAGAGCCUCAUACUACUACGUAUCGUUCGACAAUACCUUUCGGGUAUUAUGUAAGAUUCACGAAAUACACAAAGCAAAAAUAAAGGACCUGGAUAAAGCAAUCAAUAAACAGCAGUAAUGUACUGUAUAUUUUUCAAUAUACGGAUAACCUUAAGUGUUUUUUAUUUCCACCAGUGUAUUAACUUAAAAUACUUAAUCUAUAAAAUUAAUGAGUCCCAUAAUUGUAAGCGAGUCCAUUGCGAGUUCAAUCUUCCGAUACCAUUCAUUUACUGUUUUUAAGUCUGUUUUUUGUUUUUAUGUCGGGAAAACCAACCAAUGUCUUCUCCCGCCAUAGGCGAGGCGAGAACGAAUGUCAGAUUGUUACUGGUUCUCGAACCGGAGCCCCGGUAAACCCGCUAAGUAGUCCGCAACACCGGAUGAGGCAUCAACCCUACUGGGGCUCAUCUGUGAUGGUCUGUUUACAUUAAUAGUUAUUUACACUUCGCUAGCCAAAUGUAUAUUUCAGCAACUACUUUUUUUUUGAGGGGGGAAAGUCAUCCAAUGACUUCUCCCGCCUUGGGCAAAGCGAGAGGGAGUGUCAGACUCUUACUGACUAAAAAACACUCCGUUCCUUCUCCUGCUAUUCGAGCCGGAGCCCUGGUAAACCCGCUAGGUAGUGGUGGAGGUCUGAUGGCUCUUUGAGGCGCGCGCGGAAGGCGACGCGCUGCAACUACUUAAUCUAUGAAUAAGACAGUAGACAUUUACACACGGUAGAUUUCGAAGGAUUAAAAAGAUUGGUAAAGGUCCAUAUUACAUCGGAACCUCUACUAUAAAGGCGUGACCUUAUGUCAAAUCUAAUUAAGACUUGGAGUUACUGAAUCGUGGACAUCCGAAGAAUAUUUGAAGACAAUUUUUCUAAACCAAGCCAAUCCUUCAAGCAUAUUUUUUUAAUACUUAAUAGGAUAGCAUUUGGCCACCAUCUUGCUUGAUGGUAAGCGAUGAUGUGGCGGACGGUGGAGCACGUCUACUUAGGAGCAACCUCUUCACUCGGGACUUAAAAUGGUAAACGAAGAAUUUUCAAUUACGUUAACUAAUUUCAUUCGUACAAUAAAACGUACAUUUUAAUUUAUUUUUAAUUAGGUAAUAUGAAGUUUAUGUACUAUAAUUUUAAAUCUUAAUAAGUCUUAGGUACAGAAGGUAAUGCUGAUCGUUUAUUUCAUUACUGCUAUAUCCUACAUACAUCACUCACAAUGUGUUAUGUUAAAACGGGGAAAACCAGUGCCGCAAGCCGAAACUCUCGACAAAUUACUAACGAAAUUCUUAGGACACAGCUACAGCGACAAUACCAUCGCUAAUAUCAUCUUAGGGAAGCCUGUUGGAAACGCAGACAUAGACCCGACUAAUGAAAAUCUCGACAUUAACGUACUAGACGUGUAUAGUGUCAAAAAAAUAAUUAGCUUUGCUAAACAGAAACAUGAGGAGGACACAAUCGCGACACUGACACGGCGACAUAACAGCUUCCGGCGAAAAGCUGAAUUAGUCGACGAAAAACCCAACAACACAUACAUCUCCGACAAAGCCAUGGACCUCCUGCAGCACAGCAUUUACAAGACCCAGGCAAGAAUGAACAUAACAUACCCGUUCCGCAAGAAAUACCACGAGUUACCGACCUACCAAAUAUCCGUUUUGUAUGGUACUGCUACAGCCGUCAUAGCCAAAAUGGAGAAUCUGUUGGCACAAAUGAAAGCUUUCAAGGCGAAAACACAUUUCAUAUGGUACCUUAUAAUAUAUGAGAAGUUACUGGCUUGUAAUAUUGAUAUAACCAACAUUGUUGAGAGGUCAUUUAUCUUAAAUUAUGAAUAUUACGUCAAAAAGCCGACUAAAGACCGCCCCGAAGCUAAUGCACACGACAAUAGAGGACCACCUUCUGAUUUCGAUGAGAGGGACUUGCAGCCGCCUUGAUUUUAUUUUUUCUUUGUACGUCUAUCAAUGCCUUAAAUAAAAAUGUGAACGGA